rnacentral:rRNA from 1 species
CCUACGGGUGGCUGCAGUGGGGGAUAUUGGACAAUGGGGGGAACCCUGAUCCAGCGACGCCGCGUGAGUGAAGAAGUCUUUCGGUAUGUAAAGCUCUGUCAGCAGGGAGGAAAGCAAUGACGGUACCUGACCACGAAGCCCCGGCUACCUACGUGCCAGCAGCCGCGGUAAUACGUAGGGGGCAAGCGUUAUCCGGAAUUACUGGGUGUAAAGGGAGCGUAGACGGCGGUGCAAGUCUGGAGUGAAAGGCGGGGGCUCAACCCCCGGACUGCUCUGGAAACUGGAGGGCUGGAGUGCAGGAGAGGGAAGCGGAAUUCCUAGUGUAGCGGUGAAAUGCGUAGAUAUUAGGAGGAAUACCAGUGGCGAAGGCGGCUCACUGGACUGUAACUGACGUUGAGGUGCGAAAGCGUGGGGAGCAAACAGGAUUAGAUACCCCUGUAGUC